rnacentral:rRNA from 1 species
UACGGGAGGCAGCAGUGGGGAAUAUUGCACAAUGGGCGCAAGCCUGAUGCAGCCAUGCCGCGUGUGUGAAGAAGGCCUUCGGGUUGUAAAGCACUUUCAGCGAGGGAGGAAGGUGUGUAAGUUAAUACCUUACAUCAUUUGACGUUACUCGCAGAAGAAGCACCGGCUAACUCCGUGCCAGCAGCCGCGGUAAUACGGAGGGUGCGAGCGUUAAUCGGAAUUACUGGGCGUAAAGCGCAUGCAGGGUGGUUUGUUAAGUCAGAUGUGACAAGCCCCCGGGCUCAACCUGGGGAAUUGCAUUUGAAACUGGCAAACUAGAGUACUGUAGAGGGGGGUAGAAUUUCAGGUGUAGCGGUGAAAUGCGUAGAGAUCUGAAGGAAUACCGGUGGCGAAGGCGGCCCCCUGGACAGAUACUGACACUCAGAUGCGAAAGCGUGGGGAGCAAACAGGAUUAGAUACCCUGGUAGUCCACGCCGUAAACGAUGUCUACUUGGAGGUUGUGGCCUUGAACCCUGGCUUUUCGAGCUAACGCGUUAAGUAGACCGCCUGGGGAGUACGGUCGCAAGAUUAAAACUCAAAUGAAUUGACGGGGGCCCGCACAAGCGGUGGAGCAUGUGGUUUAAUUCGAUGCAACGCGAAGAACCUUACCUACUCUUGA